AAUUAAAAAAAAAAAAACACGGAAAAGAGAAGGAAAGAAACAAGAAAGAAAAAGGAUAAAAAAGAAAGAAAGUAACAACUCUUUUCUAAGAUUUUAAAGCGGUAGACAAGUCGGCGGAGCGGAGAUUUAUUUUGGCGAAAAGCAAGGCUGCCUGAAGCCGACCCCACAUUGGAAGACUGUCCUACUUGCUUGGAAGCUGGCACUAUUGAUUCCUUCAAUUAAUGAAAUGCGCCUGAUGCUAAUCGUAUUUAUUUUAACUUUAUGGGGGGAGGCAACGUUAGGAGGGUGCAUUAAAAAAUGCGAAAAACCUGCAGAAAGAUCGAAGAGCGAAAACUAUUGUUGGAUGGAGUUGGUUUUUACCUCAACAGCGCCACCUUUCGGCAAAGGGUCUCUCACUGGAACUGGAGCUCACUGAUUCAGAUAUACUAGCUAACCAUCAGUCACCAAGGAUCCUUCUGUCUCUGACUCCGCAGCCUUGGAAUUAUAGGCAUGCACCAUGCCCAACUGUUACAUGGGUCCUGGGGAGAUCGACUUAUGUCCCAUGCUUAUCUUAUACAACAGUCACAACACCUGCUGAGAAAUCUCUUCUUCCCCUCAUCCAUUUCUUGAUGGACAUUUGGAUUGCUUCUACAUUUGGCCCAACUAUGCAUUCCAUUCCACCAAGUGGAUCCAAUAGCCAAUUCAAGAGCAGUUGGUUACCCACCAUGGCUGUGUGCCACUAUUGCACUUGGUCUCACCUUUGAGUUGUUAUGAUGGUCAAGUAUGACUGUCAGCCUGAUGCGAUUUGGAAUCCCCUGGGAGACACACUGCUGAGUACUUGGGAGGUCACUUCCAGAGAAGUGUAACUGAGAAGGGAAGACCCACUGUGAACGUCAGAGAUCUGAUGAUAUAACAAUUGAUGACACUUAGGUGACUGCUAAGAUCAUAAAGAGGGUAGCAUUUAAGAGCAGAAUCACCAUCCAGCAACUCCCUACUGCCAGAAACCAUGCCGUCGUCUCUACAGGGGAACAGGAAGGAAGAAAAUUGAAACUCAGAAGUUAAGAUUCCUACAGGGCUUGAAAGGGGGCACAGACAGAGACCGCUGGUAAGCAAGCUGAAGAAUGCUGUCUUCUGGACUUGACAUGGCUGCUGCCCUCCUGAACCCACAGCAGAUGGAGUUAUCUCCGUAAGAGCAGUGCGAGAUUCCAUUGUGGAGAGUGGAGGGGCUCAUGAGGCCCACCCCUCCCUGAUGAACCACAGGCAGUUAGUUGUUGCCUGGGGAGGAGGGCUCAUUUUCCUCUGGGAGCCACUGGAUCUCCAACUGGGAUAUUUACAUAGAAGCCUGGGAAAGAUUUACAGAGAAGGACACCACCUAGGUGAGGCUUCUGUGUCUCCUUCUGGUGUCUUCAGGUUCCUCUGAGGCCAUUGAAGGACAUCCUGCAGGGGUAAACUUCUUCAGAAAGCAGUGACACUUGCCACAGAGGUUUCACCUUCUUCUCAGCUGGGCCCACGCAGGGCCACAAGUGAGUCACAAGUGAAGAGUGGAGCUGCCUCUCCUGGUUGCAUAGCUUUGAGUGCCCCAACCACAAAUGUCCUUUCAUAUAAGUGUUGGGAUGAUUCAGCGGAAACUUCUGGUCAAACGGAUCACCAUAGCAACUUUCAGUAGACAUCCAGCAUGCAAAUUAAAGAGUGGAAAGGGACCAUUUUCAGUACUCCUAAACUAAUACAUUCUGAACCCUGUGUGGAUGGAACCCUAGACUCUUUGAAGGUGUCAUGCUGUGUCAGCCCAAGUGCACAUCACACCUGGCCCAUCUACUGGGACCUUCAGAUGCUACAAAGAGAUAAGGGAAAGCCAUUGGGGCAGCUUCUGUACCCUGAGUUCUGUGUUGAAUAAAGAAGAGACAUAGGGCAGA